CAUUACCUAGCGGCGGACGGGUGAGUAAUGCUUAGGAAUCUGCCUAUUAGUGGGGGACAACAUUCCGAAAGGAAUGCUAAUACCGCAUACGUCCUACGGGAGAAAGCAGGGGACCUUCGGGCCUUGCGCUAAUAGAUGAGCCUAAGUCGGAUUAGCUAGUUGGUGGGGUAAAGGCCUACCAAGGCGACGAUCUGUAGCGGGUCUGAGAGGAUGAUCCGCCACACUGGGACUGAGACACGGCCCAGACUCCUACGGGAGGCAGCAGUGGGGAAUAUUGGACAAUGGGGGGAACCCUGAUCCAGCCAUGCCGCGUGUGUGAAGAAGGCCUUUUGGUUGUAAAGCACUUUAAGCGAGGAGGAGGCUACUAGUAUUAAUACUACUGGAUAGUGGACGUUACUCGCAGAAUAAGCACCGGCUAACUCUGUGCCAGCAGCCGCGGUAAUACAGAGGGUGCGAGCGUUAAUCGGAUUUACUGGGCGUAAAGCGUGCGUAGGCGGCUGAUUAAGUCGGAUGUGAAAUCCCUGAGCUUAACUUAGGA
rnacentral:rRNA from 1 species